rnacentral:tRNA from 1 species
GCCCGUUUAGCUCAGUGGUAGAGCGUUGCACUUGUAUAUCAUGCAAUGCAAAGGUCGUUGGUUCAAUCCCGGCAGUGGGCA